CAGUAGCCGCGGUAAUACAGAGGGUGCAAGCGUUAAUCGGAUUUACUGGGCGUAAAGGGCGCGUAGGUGGUUAUUUAAGUGAGAUGUGAAAGCCCCGGGCUUAACCUGGGAACUGCAUCUUAUACUGGGUAACUGGAGUGCAGUAGAGGGUAGUGGAAUUUCCGGUGUAGCGGUGAAAUGCGUAGAUAUUGGGAAGAACACCGGUGGCGAAGGCGGCGACCUGGUCCUUUACUGACGCUGAGGCGCGAAAGCGUGGGGAGCAAACAGGAUUAGAUACCCGUGUAGUCCCUGUCUCUUAUAC
rnacentral:rRNA from 1 species